rnacentral:rRNA from 1 species
AGCGAACGCUGGCGGCAGGCUUAACACAUGCAAGUCGAACGCCCCGCAAGGGGAGUGGCAGACGGGUGAGUAACGCGUGGGAAUCUACCCAUCCCUACGGAACAACUCCGGGAAACUGGAGCUAAUACCGUAUACGCCCUUAGGGGGAAAGAUUUAUCGGGGAUGGAUGAGCCCGCGUCGGAUUAGCUAGUUGGUGGGGUAAUGGCCCACCAAGGCGACGAUCCGUAGCUGGUCUGAGAGGAUGAUCAGCCACACUGGGACUGAGACACGGCCCAGACUCCUACGGGAGGCAGCAGUGGGGAAUAUUGGACAAUGGGCGAAAGCCUGAUCCAGCCAUGCCGCGUGAGUGAUAAGGCCUUAGGGUUGUAAAGCUCUUUCGCCGACGAAGAUAAUGACGGUAGUCGGAGAAGAAGCCCCGGCUAACUUCGUGCCAGCCGCCGCGGUAAUAC